ACUCCUACGGGAGGCAGCAGUGGGGAAUUUUGGACAAUGGGCGAAAGCCUGAUCCAGCAAUGCCGCGUGAGUGAAGAAGGCCUUCGGGUUGUAAAGCUCUUUUGUCAGGGAAGAAACGGUGAAAGCUAAUAUCUUUUGCUAAUGACGGUACCUGAAGAAUAAGCACCGGCUAACUACGUGCCAGCAGCCGCGGUAAUACGUAGGGUGCAAGCGUUAAUCGGAAUUACUGGGCGUAAAGCGUGCGCAGGCGGUUUUGUAAGUCUGAUGUGAAAUCCCCGGGCUCAACCUGGGAAUUGCAUUGGAGACUGCAAGGCUAGAAUCUGGCAGAGGGGGGUAGAAUUCCACGUGUAGCAGUGAAAUGCGUAGAUAUGUGGAGGAACACCGAUGGCGAAGGCAGCCCCCUGGGUCAAGAUUGACGCUCAUGCACGAAAGCGUGGGGAGCAAACAGGAUUAGAAACCCUGGUAGUCCCAUGA
rnacentral:rRNA from 1 species